ensembl:lncRNA
AAAUUGUCAGGUCUCAGAACACAAGCUAUCAGACAGAGAGAAAAUCUUCCUGCAGGUGGCGCUGUUGUCACGUCCCACCAAUGACUGUAGUGACAGCUGCAGUCACAGAGAAACUUGCGUAUCUCUGUUCGGGAAUAGCAGAUAGAGCGUAGGCUCUGAGAGGAGGGCCAGCGUUUACGCUUCGAAAACACGACCGAGUGUUUUAACCUGACAGCCUGAGGUGUUCUUCAGUAAACUGGACUACCCGACAGAAGGACCCGAGGCCCCGCUGCACUGUUUCGGGGCUGCCCUCAGAUUCAGACCUCAGCACCAUCCAGUGACAGCAGACAGAUCAUCCAACAUGUUCACUGCAAAAUGAACUGAUGAAAACAGUACAAAGGUUAAAAUACCACACGUGCUGUAGUGAAAGCUGCAGCUUUAUUGAUAAACUUAAGGACAAAAAACAAAAGGAUUAAUCACUCAUGUAACUGUGUCACUAUAUAUCAGUAUUGACAGGACCUCAGUUUGUAUCUCAGACCAGCACAGCUUCCGUUUUAAACACUUGAUGUACUCAGCUGCAUGAAGAGCAUAUGAGAUUUUCUCUAACACACUUAAAUAAAACCUGAUGAAGGUCAAAGGUCGUCACUUGUAUGUUGAACUACAAACUUGUCAUCUGGAAUUCUUUCACAGUUUUUGCAGAUAGUGUGUUAUUUACCAUAAAGUGAUUCAGAGUUAUUCAUACCAGAGUAACCAGAGAGGAUCACAUAUUUUUAAAUAUAUAACUUUCUACAGGACUGAAUAUAAUAUCUUUAUGUAAAAGUCUGGAGCCUCUGGGGAGAAUCCGAGUAUUUAUAACAUUACACAAAGCAAAGGUCUCCAUCACAGUGUUCAUGAAAUGCUGGGGUUUAUCCAUGUCCUGGAUCGGGCCUAUGGAGGAGUGCUGAAGAUUUCCCUGUGAGGGAGCUGCUAGUGAAGAUCAUGAAUCCUGCUUGAUCAAUGCGAUGAGCUUCAGUCUUCCUGGUGUUUCUUAAAUGAUGCCUCUUACAGCGGGUCAACAGAACUUCUGGCACAGGACAGCUGUGAUGAAAGAAAGGGAAGAAGUUUCUCCAAACCUCUGGACCCAGGAAACCCAGCUUGGUCCUGAUGGUCUCCCUCACUAGUUUCUCUCCAGGGUGAUUGUAGCUGUUGAUAUAAUAUGGACUCUAUUAUUAAAUGAAAAGAACAAAUUACAAUACUGAAACCUUCUGCUAAUGUUUUUAAAGUCUCCAUGUUACCAGGCUGUAG